UCAGUCGACUCCUACGGGGAGGCAGCAGUGGGGGAAUAUUGCACAAUGGGCGCAAGCCUGAUGCAGCCAUGCCGCGUGUGUGAAGAAGGACCUUCGGGUUGUAAAGCACUUUCAGUCGUGAGGAAGGUAAUGUAGUUAAUAGCUGCAUUAUUUGACGUUAGCGACAGAAGAAGCACCGGCUAACUCCGUGCCAGCAGCCGCGGUAAUACGGAGGGUGCGAGCGUUAAUCGGAAUUACUGGGCGUAAAGCGCAUGCAGGUGGUUUGUUAAGUCAGAUGUGAAAGCCCGGGGCUCAACCUCGGAAUAGCAUUUGAAACUGGCAGACUAGAGUACUGUGGAGGGGGGGUAGGAAUUUCAGGUGUAGCGGUGAAAUGCGUAGAGAUCUGAAGGAAUACCGGUGGCGAAGGCGGCCCCCCUGGACAGAUACUGACACUCAGAUGCGAAAGCGUGGGGAGCCAAACAGGAUUAGAUACCCUGGUAG
rnacentral:rRNA from 1 species